GACGAACGCUGGCGGCGUGCUUAACACAUGCAAGUCGAACGGAAAGGCCCUGCUUUUGUGGGGUGCUCGAGUGGCGAACGGGUGAGUAACACGUGAGUAACCUGCCCUUGACUUUGGGAUAACUUCAGGAAACUGAGGCUAAUACCGGAUAGGAGCUCCUGCUGCAUGGUGGGGGUUGGAAAGUUUCGGCGGUUGGGGAUGGACUCGCGGCUUAUCAGCUUGUUGGUGGGGUAGCGGCUUACCAAGGCUUUGACGGGUAGCCGGCCUGAGAGGGUGACCGGCCACAUUGGGACUGAGAUACGGCCCAGACUCCUACGGGAGGCAGCAGUGGGGAAUAUUGCACAAUGGGCGGAAGCCUGAUGCAGCAACGCCGCGUGCGGGAUGACGGCCUUCGGGUUGUAAACCGCUUUCGCCUGUGACGAAGCGUGAGUGACGGUAAUGGGUAAAGAAGCACCGGCUAACUACGUGCCAGCAGCCGCGGUGAUACGUAGGGUGCGAGCGUUGUCCGGAUUUAUUGGGCGUAAAGGGCUCGUAGGUGGUUGAUCGCGUCGGAAGUGUAAUCUUGGGGCUUAACCCUGAGCGUGCUUUCGAUACGGGUUGACUUGAGGAAGGUAGGGGAGAAUGGAAUUCCUGGUGGAGCGGUGGAAUGCGCAGAUAUCAGGAGGAACACCAGUGGCGAAGGCGGUUCUCUGGGCCUUUCCUGACGCUGAGGAGCGAAAGCGUGGGGAGCGAACAGGCUUAGAUACCCUGGUAGUCCACGCUGUAAACGGUGGGUACUAGGUGUGGGGUCCAUUCCACGGGUUCCGUGCCGUAGCUAACGCUUUAAGUACCCCGCCUGGGGAGUACGGCCGCAAGGCUAAAACUCAAAGGAAUUGACGGGGCCCCGCACAAGCGGCGGAGCAUGCGGAUUAAUUCGAUGCAACGCGUAGAACCUUACCUGGGUUUGACAUGGAUCGGGAGUGCUCAGAGAUGGGUGUGCCUCUUUUGGGGUCGGUUCACAGGUGGUGCAUGGCUGUCGUCAGCUCGUGUCGUGAGAUGUUGGGUUAAGUCCCGCAACGAGCGCAACCCUUGUUCACUGUUGCCAGCACGUUAUGGUGGGGACUCAGUGGAGACCGCCGGGGUCAACUCGGAGGAAGGUGGGGAUGACGUCAAGUCAUCAUGCCCCUUAUGUCCAGGGCUUCACGCAUGCUACAAUGGCUGGUACAGAGAGUGGCGAGCCUGUGAGGGUGAGCGAAUCUCGGAAAGCCGGUCUCAGUUCGGAUUGGGGUCUGCAACUCGACCUCAUGAAGUCGGAGUCGCUAGUAAUCGCAGAUCAGCAACGCUGCGGUGAAUACGUUCCCGGGGCU
rnacentral:rRNA from 1 species